rnacentral:lncRNA from 1 species
AACAUAUUUACUUAAAUUACAAUUUCAUGUUAGAGAGCAGAUGAAAUCUUUGAUCAUACCUUCCCCACAAAGUUACUGUAAAGCCAAAAAAAAAGGAAAGAAAAGAGUUCCUACUUUGCUUCUUUGGUGAAGAGUGCAACUUCUUUUACUAAGGAGAAACAUUAUUCAUAGGAUAAAUUUAUCAUGAAUACAUAUCUAAACACACUGAGGGUUUUACAUGUGGUAGUAAUUAAACAGUGACUUCAAGUAGGAAAAUAAAAGUUUUUCUUAGCAAUAAAAGCUUCCAUUUGAAAUGAACGUUAUAUUAGCUUCAAGGGGAAAUUCAGACUGUUUUUAACCACAGUCACAUUGGAUAGCAAAACAUAUUAGUAGGUGAGCAUGUAGAAGUUCAAAAUGACAUUCUCCUGAUUUAUAGAUAUAUUUAUCCACUUCAACAUUAUAUUUAAUAAAAGAACUACAUAGGCUAUGGCUGACUUUUAUCAUUGCAAUGUUUUUACUGCAUUCCUAACUGAGAAGAGUUCAGUAUCAUUACUGAGAUAUGCAAAAAUAUGCAGAAUUUUACCCUGAAGGAGAUUAUGCUAGAAAUUCAGGCAAAGGGGCUUAACAUAAUAUUGCACUAUUAAGUUAGCUCUCUGCAUUCAACGAUUUAAACUUUUGCUCUGCCACCUUCAGCUGGAUCUGGAUUUCAAAUCACAGGAGUUCUUAAAUCUUAAUUAGCUCGGCAAGCAGACAGCCCUCAGGUAAAAAA